rnacentral:hammerhead_ribozyme from 1 species
AUCCAGCUGAGUCCCAUAGAGGACGAAACGCGCGUCCUGGAU